ensembl:lncRNA
AGCACCGAGGGCCUUCUGGCGGUUCCCUCACUGAGAGAAGCGAAGCUACAGGGAACCAGGCAGAGGGCCUUCUCAGUAGUGGCACCUGCCCUGUGGAACGCCCUCCCACCAGAUGUCAAAGAGAUAAACAACUACCUAACAUUUAAAAGACAUCUGAAGGCAGCCCUGUUCAGGGAAGUUUUUAAUGUGUGACAUUUUAAUGUAUUUUUAAUCUUUGUUGGAAGCUGCCCAGAGUGGCUGGGGAAACUCAGCCAGAUGGGCGGGGUACAAAUAAAUUAUUAUUAUUAUUAUUAUUAUUAUUAUUAUUAUUAUUAUUAUUAUUACAGUGGUACCCCGCAAGACGAACGCCUCGCAAGACGGAAAACCCGCUAGACGAAAGGUUUUUCCGUUUUGGAGACGCUUCGCAAAACGAAUUUCCCUAUGGGCUUCCUUCGCAAGACGAAAGCCCAUAGGGAAAUCUCCGGGACAGGGCGUCUUGCCCACUGUCCUCGGACCUCCUCCCACCGCCAGGCUUCGGAAGGCUGCUCUGAAGCCUGGCGGGGGGCGGAGAGGUUUUUUAAAAACCCCGGGACAGCGGAGGACUUCUCCGCUGUCCGGGGCGAUUUUAAAAUGCUGGCGGGCGGCAGCGCUGCCGCCCAGCAGCAUUUAAAAAAACCCCGGGACAGCGGGGGACUUCUCCUUUGUCCCGAGGUUUUUUUAAAAUGCUGGCGUCUUCCCCUUUCUCCCCGGACCUCUUUUGAAGCAAGGGGCGGCAACGCGGAGAAGCGAUCUUCUCCCCGUUGCCGCCCCUUGCUUCAAAAGAGGGGACAGAGGGAAAGGCGCGCGCCUUCCUCUCUCUCCCCCCGGACCCCUUUUGAAGCAAGGGGCGGCAAAGGGGAGAAGCGAUCUUCUCCCCGUUGCCGCCCCUUGCUUCAAAAGAGGGGACAGAGGGAAAGGCGCGCGCCUUCCUCUCUCUCCCCCCGGACCCCUUUUGAAGCAAGGGGCGGCAAAGGGGAGAAGCGAUCUUCUCCCCGUUGCCGCCCCUUGCUUCAAAAGAGGGGACAGAGGGAAAGGCGCGCGCCUUCCCCUCUCUCCCCCCGGACCCCUUUUGAAGCAAGGGGCGGCAAAGGGGAGAAGCGAUCUUCUCCCCGUUGCCGCCCCUUGCUUCAAAAGAGGGGAAGGCUGGCGGGGGGCGAAAAUCUUUGUCCCCCCUGGCUGCCUUCCCGGGAGGGCUUUUAAAUCGCCCCGGACAGCGGAGAAGUCCUCCGCUGUCCGGGGCGAUUUUAAAAUGCUGCCGUGGGGGGGGGGAGCAAAGACUUUUGCCCCCCCCCAGCCUUCAGAAGAGGUCGGGGGACAGAUUGUCCCCGGACCUGGUCUGAAGUCGGUUUCCAUAGGAACGCAUUAAUUGAUUUUCAAUGCAUUCCUAUGGGAAACCGUGCAUCGCAAGACGAAAAACUCGCAAGAAGAAAAAACUUGCGGAACGAAUUAAUUUCGUCUUGCGAGGCACCACUGUAUUAUUAUUAUUAUUAAAGGAACAUUACAAAUCAGGUUAGAAGUGCUAGCAUUAAAGCCAGUAAAACUAAUGGAAGAAAGCCCACG